GCCAGUGUGCUGUAGUGGUUUAAGUGAUGGACUGCAACUCUGGAGACCAGGGUUCGAAUCUCUGCUCAGCCA
rnacentral:tRNA from 1 species